GGAUGAGAGAUUGUGGCUCUGUGGUGACUCCAAUCAUUGAGGGUUUAUCAAUCAUUAAUGAAGACUUUGGGCCUUCUUUGAUAAAGCCUCUACAGCCCAUAGACUAGUGUCCGAUAGACAGAACUUCUUUCUUCUAUAAAGGAGCUGAAAACACCUGGGGGGCCUCAGAAAAUUAGGACUUCUGGGGCCUUGUUUCUUUCUUUUCUGGCCCCAUGCCUUCCAGGAGCACAGGGCAUGGUAAGCACCGAACACCUGCUCAGGGAACCAGUGCUCACCGGCUGUCUUCCUUCCCAACAGGGGAUUUUCCUGACCCAGGGAUCAAAUCUACAUCUCCUGCAUUGGCAAGCAGAUUCUUUACCACAGAGCCACCAGGGAAGUCCUAAGAAGACACACACAUGGUCGGAAGGCACACGGAGAGAUACUCAACACCACUGAUUAUCAGAGAAACGAUCAAAAUGGCCAUCAAUAAGAAGUCUACAAAUAACAAAUGCUGGAGAGGGGGAGGAAAAAAGGGAACCCUCUCACCCUGUUGGUAGGAAUGUAAGUUGGUGCAGCCACUCUGAAAAACAAUAUGAAGUUUCCUCAGAAAACUAAAAAUAGAAUUAUCAUGCGACUCAGCGAUCCCACGCCUGAUCAUAUAUCCAGACAAAACUAUAAUUAAAAGAUACAUGCACCCUGGUAUUGAUAGCAGCACUACUGAUGAUAACCAAGACAUGGAAACAACCUACAUGUCCAGCAACAGUAUAAAGAUUUCUAAUUUGUGGCCAUCUGGCAGGGGACCGGCCCUCCUCAUUCCUUCAUCACCACCAGUAGAGCAGGAAAACAAGCAUGGUUACCACAGCUGCCCCUGGGAGGAUGGAGACUGCAAGGGUCUGCAAGUCCUAAGGAAGGUGACAUGAAUACAGGAUGAACCACUGCCCAGGUGCAGCUGUUGGGAAAGGGCAUGAGGUAUGUGGUUUAGGGCAGAUGCCUUUUCAGUCUGAAACUACUAGAGCAAAACUUUGUACACAUCCAGAGACUAUCUAUGGAUAAGACAUCAUAGUAGGGUUUCCCUGGUGGCUCAGUGGUAAAGAAUCCACCUGCCAAUGCAGGAGACAUGGGUUCCAUCCCUGAUCUGAGAAAAUCCCACAUGCCUCGGAGCAACUAAGUCUGUGUGCCAUAACUAUCGAGCCUGUGCUCUAGAGCCUGGGAACCGCAGCUACUGAGCCCACGUGCCGUAACUACUAAGGUCCUUGCUCCCUAGAGCCCAUGCUCCCCAACAAAAGAAGCCACUGCAAUGAGAAGCCCACACACUGCAACUAGAGAGUAGCUGCCCCACUUGCCACAACUAGAAAAAGCCUGCCCACAGCAAUGAAGACCC
ensembl:lncRNA